UACGGAGGGUGCAAGCGUUAUCCGGAUUCACUGGGUUUAAAGGGUGCGUAGGCGGGCAUUUAAGUCAGUGGUGAAAUACCUGAGCUUAACCUGGAAAUUGCCAUUGAUACUAUAUGUCUUGAAUGCUGUGGAGGUAAGCGGAAUAUGUCAUGUAGCGGUGAAAUGCUUAGAUAUGACAUAGAACACCUAUUGCGAAGGCAGCUUACUACGCAGAUAUUGACGCUCAUGCACGAAAGCGUGGGGAUCAAACAGG
rnacentral:rRNA from 1 species